UACGAAGGGGGCGAGCGUUGUUCGGAAUUACUGGGCGUAAAGGGCGCGCAGGCGGCCUUUGAAGUCAGGCGUGAAAGCCCCGGGCUCAACCUGGGAAUUGCGCUUGAUACUCUGAGGCUUGAGUUCGGGAGAGGAGAGUGGAAUUCCCAGUGUAGAGGUGAAAUUCGUAGAUAUUGGGAAGAACACCGGUGGCGAAGGCGGCUCUCUGGACCGAUACUGACGCUGAGGCGCGAAAGCGUGGGGAGCAAACAGG
rnacentral:rRNA from 1 species